rnacentral:rRNA from 1 species
ACCCGCACAAGCGGUGGAUGAUGUGGUAUUAAUUCGAUGCAACGCGAAAACCUUACCUACCCUUGACAUGUCCGGAAUCCUGCAGAGAUGGCGGGAGUGCCCGAAAGGGGAUCGGAACACAGGUGCUGCAUGGCUGUCGUCAGCUCGUGUCGUGAGAUGUUGGGUUAAGUCCCGCAACGAGCGCAACCCUUAUCAUUAGUUGCUACGCAAGGGCACUCUAAUGAGACUGCCGGUGACAAACCGGAGGAAGGUGGGGAUGACGUCAAGUCCUCAUGGCCCUUAUGGGUAGGGCUUCACACGUCAUACAAUGGUCGGUACAGAGGGUUGCCAAGCCGCGAGGUGGAGCCAAUCCCAGAAAGCCGAUCGUAGUCCGGAUUGUUCUCUGCAACUCGGGAGCAUGAAGUCGGAAUCGCUAGUAAUCGCGGAUCAGCAUGUCGCGGUGAAUACGUUCCCGGGUCUU